rnacentral:rRNA from 1 species
GACGAACGCUGGCGGCGUGCUUAACACAUGCAAGUCGAACGAAGUGGCGAACGGGUGAGUAACGCGUAAUCAACCUGCCCUUCAGGGGGGGACAAAAGGUGGAAACGAAUGCUAAUACCGAAAAAGGAAGGAGGGGAGUGCGGCUGAUUAGCUAGUUGGAGGGUUAACGGCCUACCAAGGCGAGGAGCAGUAGCCGGUCUGAGAGUAUGGACGGCCACAUUGGGACUGAGACACGGCCCAGACUCCUACGGGAGGGAGCAGUGGGGAAUCUUCCGCAAUGGACGAAAGUCUGACGGAGCAACGCCGCGUGAGUGAUGACGGCCUUCGGGUUGUAAAGCUCUGUUAAUCGGGACGCGGUACCGGAAUAGAAAGCCACGGCUAACUACGUGCCAGCAGCCGCGGUAAUUC